UACAGGGGGGGCAAGCGUUGUUCGGAAUUACUGGGCGUAAAGGGCCAGUAGGCGGCCAACUAAGUCCGACGUGAAAUCCCCAGGCUUAACCUGGGAACUGCGUCGGAUACUGGAUGGCUUGAAUCCGGGAGAGGGAUGCGGAAUUCCAGGUGUAGCGGUGAAAUGCGUAGAUAUCUGGAGGAACACCGGUGGCGAAGGCGGCAUCCUGGACCGGCAUUGACGCUGAGGAGCGAAAGCCAGGGGAGCAAACGGG
rnacentral:rRNA from 1 species